GAUAGACGCUGGCGGCGUGCUUAAUACAUGCAAGUCGAACGAAGGUUGUAGCAAUACAUCCUUAGUGGCGAACGGGUGAGUAACGCGUUGGUGACCUGCCCCGAAGUGCGGGAUAACAGUCCGAAAGGAUUGCUAAUACCGCAUGGUUUCAUUUGGAUUAGAUGCCAGAUGAGCAAAGGCGAAAGUCGCUUCGGGAGGGGCUUGCGUCCCAUCAGCUAGUUGGUAGGGUAAUGGCCUACCAAGGCAAUGACGGGUAGGGGACCUGAGAGGGUGGCCCCCCACAAUGGAACUGAAACACGGUCCAUACACCUACGGGUGGCAGCAGUAGGGAAUAUUGGUUAAUGUGCGAAAGCGCGAACCAGCAACGCCGCGUGCACGAUGAAGGCCUUCGGGUUGUAAAGUGCUUUUUGAGGGGAUGAGGAAGGACAGUACCCUCAGAAUAAGUCUCGGCCAACUACGUG
rnacentral:rRNA from 1 species